CACCGCAACAUGGGGCUAAACAAGUUGACAGCUUUUCUUCCCAAGAUUUCUUUUGAUUUUUUCAGGUCCAAAUUCUACUCUCACAUAUACCUCUUCACACAGUGAUGGUAAACAGAGCAGAAUUCAGUCCUUAAUAUACACAGCAAAUUACUCAAAGAGGAGUUGUCAACCCUGUUUUACCAGAUGGAGUUAAAACCAUUCAGCCAACAGCUAUCAGCUGGAUCAGCUGCUAAGAAAAGGAGAUGGGGUCUGAGUGCUAAUGAAGCACAGUAGUCAUUCAGAGCACAUUGGGAAAUGGCAGCAAGCAAGGCUGAGGCUGUUUGGGAUGAACCGUGAGCCACAGGCAGCACAUUUUCCAGCUCAAGAUGGAAGCAAUAAGUAUUAAAUUCCUACAACAGAAUUAUAAGGUAGUUAAGACACACAGUUAUCGUUAAAGUAGUCCUUUUGUCUUUUGCCUUUAGAAAAAUUGUAAGAAAAAGUAUCUAGGGAGAUACCUACAUUAGUGUUAAGUGCUCAGUUUUAUACCUCGCAGUUUAAAACACUUCAAGUGAAAUAAUCUAUAAGCUAGCAUCAGUAGAGAUGUAGAGAUAGAAGGAAGAGUUUACAUUUUUAAGGUAGCAUCCAAAGGACCAAAAAGGGUGGAAAAAAGAAAGGAAGCUUAAACUGUGGACAUCCUGCUUUCUGGAUGGAUAUCGAGGAGCCAGACAGGCACAAUAUGGAAGGAGAGCAUUCUCCCACCUUGCAGUGUCAUGGCUGGUGAGCUCAGAAGAUCUGGAGAGAUCUCCUCAUGCCAAGUACCUGGAAGGAAUUUACAAUCCACUGUGAAAUGCUCAGUCUUCCUGGCCUUUUGUAGGAUAUUCACUGGAACAUUGGACACUAAACCAAUCCACCUGUGAGAUGUGCAUUUCUAUGGCUAUUUUCCUCUUCUAGAAAACUUACCUUGUUAAUAUUUACAGUGCAAUAAUGAUUAUCUCAUUCCUGCCAGGGCAGGGGAAAUCUAUCAAGCUAUUAGUUUUGUGAACACUUCAGGCAGUUCUGGCUCUUAAAGCAAAGAGUCUAUGGAGAGCAGCAGUUCACUCAAUGUUAUAGAAUUAACAAAAACCUCUUUUUCUCCUGUAUUUUCAGAUCUGCUUCUUGCAAGCAUAACAUGUACAUAGAUAGCUCUUGCAAAGCAAACACCAUCAAGUCUGCAUAACUGAUCUGAAGUUACUAGUUCCAUUUUUUCUUGUUCAGUAUUAGCCUCAAAAGCCAUUGCUCCAGCCUGUGCCAGCUGGCAUACAAGAAUGCAGGAGGGAAAACAGAUUCUUUUCUUUCACUAUGAAAUCCUCACUGUUCCUCCAUCAGAUUUCUAGCCAGCCCAAAUAGAGCUGCACACUUGGUGGUGUGGAAACAACCAAUAGGUUCACUGUACUAAUCACUGUCUUCUUUCAUUAACAUAAUCUCACUGAUAACUACUGUACUGCAGAAGGCAAUCUAGGAGAAAAGCUCCUAAGAAAAUUUGAUUUAGCUACUAGAUUCAAUACUGGUAAUAUCCAAGUGAAUAUAACUUAAAUGGCCUGGGCCAUUUAAGGAGUGAGACUAGGAGACCUAAAAGUCAUCUCUGGCCUUAAAGGUCUCUGAAUUUAUGGCAUCACUGAGAGGACAGUAUGUUAACUCUUAGCAGCCAAUCUUGACAAAAUAAAAUGCCAUCUCACUAUUUUUUGCCUCUUCUAUAGUUUUUUGCACCUCCAAAAAAAAUCAGAAAGCGGGAUGUACCUUGUUAUCCAGAACCCUUCUAUAAUGAGUAGUUUUCGCAGACCCUCCACAUCCAUACCUUACCCUGCAGCACCUUGUUAAUUGUUUCCUGAACAAACUGGCCUCAUUGCUGAACUUCUGACACAGGCCUGUAUUUUUACAUAAAGCCAGGGUUCUCAAGAUAGCUAGAAUUUCAAGGCAUUUUUUAAUUGGAUGUCUUCUGCACCCUCUGCAUGCCUUCCCCUUGCACCUUCUUUCCCCUUCUACUGAAAGACAGUACCUUUCAGCAAAGAUACUUCCUUAAGUGAAUAUCAGCUUCACCACAAUUCAGUAAAAAAAUUAAACUCAAUUUCAUCUUGUUUUUCUAAUGUUACAAGGCUGAGCAUCUAAGUGAACAUCUGUUGUCCAAGUACAAACAACACCUCAAUUAUAAAGGAAAAAGUCUUCAAAAUCCUAAGCAGACUCAGUACUGAAAGGAAAGAAACAAAAAAA